ensembl:miRNA
AAUCAGUGGUAUUCAUGUCGGUGUUAAUUGGUACCUGAAGAGAGGUUUUCUAGGUCUCUGUUUCUUUAGUGAGGGUGAAACGAACCUGGUUAACCUCUUUUCCAGUAUCAGAUCCCACCUUGGAGGCCUUCUGGUCCAGAU